ACAGGAAGGUGCACCUCGUAUAGCUGUCUUGGACUGGACAGAGCUGCCAGAAUGGGCUGUUGAGACCCACUGGGAUUUGGUCGUUGCAUCUGAUGUGGCCUAUGACGAGGACUGCUUUGCUCCCCUCAUUGACUGCCUGUCACGGCUGGCACUUUCUCCCAGACAGAAUCACGCCGGCACAAAGGUGUGCAGCCCAUCCUCUUCCACCAUGUUGAGAGUGACAGUGCAUGCUUCACCAAAAUGCUGUUGGCAUCUCACUGCACACAAGUUUUGAUGAUUAUUGUUGGACCAAGUUUCAGAGCUGCUGGCCCUUGGAUACGCGGUGGCAUGGCACCUGUGUGACCUUGUGAUCUAUCUUCUUGGUGAUGGAUAUAUGGCUGCUGCUUGCAGUAGCUCAGAGGCUAAUACUCAGCCGCAAUAGCUACAAUUGGGGACCCAAAGGAAGCAUCUUGACAUUGUGCUUGGUGCUUUUUUGUGCAGAUUAUCCUGGCCUUGCCUGACCGCCCGGAGACGCUGCCAUUUUUUGCGGCUGCUGAUGUGGCAGGGCUGAUGUGGCGCCGCCUUCGCCACAUCAGCCGGCAUGAUCUGGCGACCUCAGUCUCCAUAUAUCAGUUUGUCCAGCGACCGUGUUCCCUGGAUCCCUCUCAACGUGUCACUCCCAGCAACGGAGCCAACGAAGCUUCCCCAAGCAAACGCUGCAAGGU
rnacentral:lncRNA from 1 species